GGCUUAUCCAUGUGUGAUUGGCACUUCCUAUGGCUACCAGGACACUAGCUUUGCCCAAGGGUUAUUUUUAUAUAGAUUGCUAUUUUCUACUAUUGCAAGAUUAUAAGCCUUGCCCGAGGCUUACAUCUCAAUUAACUGAUGCUUCUACUACCAUAAGAUUGCAAGCCUUACAUGAGGCUUACAUAUGCAUCGAUCGAUGUUUCUACUACCUUGAGAAUACAAGCCUUGUGUGAGGUUUGUAGUCAGGGACUUGCUGCCUUUGGUAGGGUAUAAGUCUUACCCGAGGCUUAUACCAUAACUAAUGAUAAUUUUUACAUAAGAUCUAUUUUUAUAGGACUUCUUUUCUAAAAUUGAGUUUUGUCCCAUUUCCUGCAUCAAAAUAGACAAAAUCACUCAGAUUAGGUAACAAAUAGCUCAGUUAUGCACUCAAAAUGAUCACUAAAAAUGUUGUUUAUAUGCACUACUACUAAGUCUUGGACAAGGCUUAUCUAUGUGUGAACUGGUACUCCCUAUUGCAGCUAGGGUGCUAGCUUUGCCCAAGGAUAAUCUACACAUAGAGCAGUGGUUUCUACUAUCGCAAGA
rnacentral:lncRNA from 1 species